rnacentral:misc_RNA from 1 species
GAUGAAGAACGUAGCGAAAUGCGAUAAGUAAUGUGAAUUGCAGAAUUCAGUGAAUCAUCGAAUCUUUGAACGCACAUUGCGCCCGCCAGUAUUCUGGCGAGCAUGCCUGUUCGAGCGUCAUUUCAACCAUCAAGCCCCAGGCUUGUGUUGGAGCCCUGCGGCUGCCGCAGCCUCCCAAAACCAGUGGCGGGCUCGCUAUCACACCGAGUGCAGUAGUUUACUCUUCGCUCAGGGCGUGUGGCGGGUGCUAGCCGUGAAACCCCCAACUUCUCAAGGUUGACCUCGGAUCAGGUAGGAAUACCCGCUGAACUUAAGCAUAUCAAUAAGCGGAAGGA